UAUCCGGAAAAGAUGGUGGCAUGCAGUUGGCCUCUAAAGCACUAAUGACGAAAAGCCCAGAGAUGAGUCUCAGCUACAAAGGAAACACUAUCAUAGAAACCGCACAUGAGACGGAUGAAACGGAGCAAGAGGUUGAGGAAGCUCCAGUGCUGCCCCUGCCAGAGACUGUGAACAUGUGUGAGACAGUGACCCUGUGUGGAGAAGCCUGAGUACUGCACAGAAGAGGAGACGCUUGUGUAUGUCUCUAUUUGCUGAGCCUCACUUACUGUAAUGUGACCAAAACCCAUUUAGAACUAGGAAUCAGGAGGGGGCACUGUCAUCACGGGAGGAUUAUUUGAGGCAUCUUAAUGUGCAAUGAAACAUAAUGUAACAUUAUUUAUUCAGAUGUUAAACAUGAUCAGACUGUUGAGCUGGCAAUAGGCAGCUUUACUGGAGCAGCUGGAGGUGUAGUGCCUUGCUCAAUGAAACCACAACAGUUGCAGAAGUAGGGGGGAGUUAAAAACCUUCCUUAUCAAAGAAUCCAUAGACUUUUAACUCUUAAAUAGCACCUCAAAUAUCUGUUUUGUAAUUAUAGUCUUGUCCUUCUGAUGUCCCCUCCCCCCCAAAAUAAGUUAAAUGCACUCUGACCAACACUGUAAUGCACUGGUAAGUAUUUUUGCCGUCAGCCACUGACGAGCACAGCAGCACCUUUAUAACUCUUUAUUUCCAUUGCGACUUUAGAAACAAAUAUGAGUAAAGUGUGUAUUUUAAUGUGAUUAUUACAGAAGUUAUUUGUGAUUUGCAUAUAAAAAGAUAUCCAUCCUUAA